rfam:Mycobacterium xenopi 3993 GMX3993.contig.9, whole genome shotgun sequence.
CGCGGUCUUCGGUAGUGGCUGCCGGGCGUACACCGGCCGCUUCGAUCGACGGCCGUA